AUUCACUGGAGAGAAAAGAGGGAGGAGGCAAAAGAACUCGGAGUGCCAAAGCUAAAUAAGUUAGCUGAGAAAACGCACGCAGCUUGCAGCGCCUGCGCCGGGUGCGCCAACUACGCAAAGACCAAGCGGGCUCCGCGCGGACCGGCGGCGCGGCUAGGCACCCGGCUUUGGCCUUCAGGAUCCCUAGCAGCCGCGAAAAGGAAUUGCUGCCCCGAGUUUCUGCAGAGGUGGAGGGAGAUCCGGAAACGGCUUCUUCCUCACUUCGCCACCUGGUGAGUGUCGGGGAGAUUGGCAAACGCCUAGGAAAAGACUGGGGAAAAUAGCCCUGGGAAAGUGGAGAAGGUGUCAGGAGGCCGGUCCACUACGGCAGUUUAUCUGUCUGAUCAGAGCCAGACGCGACGCGUCCACUUCGCAGUUCUUUCCAGGUGUGGAGACCGCAGGACAGACGGCCGAUCCCGCCGCCCUCCGUACCAGCACUCCCAGGACAGUCAGCCUCGCUCCCCAACGUCCAGGGCGCUCUGGCCACGAAAAGUUCCUGUCCAGUGUGAUUUUCAAUUCCUUGCUUGGUUUUUUUCUCCAGAGAACUUUUGGGUGGAGAUAUUAACUUUUUUCUUUUUUUUCCUUGGUGGAAGCUGCUCUAGGGAGUGGGGAGGAGGAGGAGAAAGUGAAAUAUGCUGGAGAAGAGCGAGCCCUCCUUGUUCUUCCGGAGUCCCAUCCAUUAAGCCAUCACUUCUGGAAGAUUUAAGUUGUCGGACAUGGUGACAGCUGAGAGGAGAGGAGGAUUUCUUGCCAGGUGGAGAGUCUUCACCGUCUGUUGGGUGCAUGUGUGCGCCCGCAGCGGCGCGGGGCGCGUGGUUCUCCGCGUGGAGUCUCACCUGGGACCCGAGUGAAUGGCUCCCAGGGGCUGUGCGGGGCAUCCGCCUCCGCCUUCUCCACAGGCCUGGGUCUGUCCUGGAAAGAUGCUAGCAAUGGGGGCGCUGGCAGGAUUCUGGAUCCUCUGCCUCCUCACUUACGGUUACCUGUCCUGGGGCCAGGCCUUAGAAGAGGAGGAAGAAGGGGCCUUACUAGCUCAAGCUGGAGAGAGACUAGAGCCCAGAACAAAUUCCACCUCCCAGCCCCAUCUCAUUUUCAUCCUAGCGGAUGAUCAGGGAUUUAGAGAUGUGGGUUACCACGGAUCUGAGAUUAAAACACCCACUCUUGACAAGCUCGCUGCCGAAGGAGUUAAACUGGAGAACUACUAUGUCCAGCCUAUUUGCACACCAUCCAGGAGUCAGUUUAUUACUGGAAAACAUCCUGUUAUUUGAUCUUCACAUUCACGCUGAAGGCACAAUUUUUUAUGCACCUAAAAAUGCCAUUUGAUGUGCAAAGGAGUCUUCUUGGUGUAAAAUUUCAAUGUGUGCCUGCAUCAUUGUUUUCAUGCAUGGUGAUUUGCAAGUCAUUAAAACAUGGGGGCUACAUUUAGGAUUUCUUUUCAUUUUAACCUUGGAGAGCAAGCACAGCCUCUAUUGUCGACAGUUCAAGAAAAGCAUAAAGCAGGCAGAUGAAAAA
rnacentral:sRNA from 1 species